rnacentral:lncRNA from 1 species
GGAAAGUUCCUCGUCGCGUUGGAACCGGCACCAAAGUGGGCAUUGUCGGCCGAGCGAGUUGUGGUUGGAGCCGGAGCUUGAGGGGCCUCCCUUUGGAUGGGGGCGGGCACUCUAGGCUGUACUGGUGCUGAAUUGGAAGAGUUCCCGACGUGAGUUGAGAAGCUUAGGUGAUGUUGCGCGUACUGAUGGGUACCACGAGAGGUCUGCGG